CAUUUGUAUCAUUUGCACUGACUGGGUGGAGCUAAGCAGUAUCACUGUCUGAACUUGUUCGGCCACUUUGUUUAGAUUCCAAUCGGGAAGCAAUUCUGAAAUGGGUCGUGCUGAGCUGGCGGUCCGUCUGAACCACAGGGAGUACACAAACUGGCUGAAGGCAGGACGCUGCCUCCUCAUACUGAAGGAUGCUCUCCAUCCCUACAUCAGCCAGCAUAUGAGAGCUUUCCACGCAGAUCUGCUCAGUCAGAACGCUCUGCUGCGCAAACCGUGUCAGACUUCGUGUAAACCGAGAGGGAAUAAGCUUUCCUCGGCGUGUAGAGCGUGUACUGAGUGGACAACAGUGAUCCUGAGACACAACAAACAGCCCGAUGCCACCGUGAACUGGGACAAUUGUUCCCCUCCUUCCUGGAGAACAGACUACUGGGAGCUGGCCAAGGCCUACAUGCCCCGAGGUCAGGGGAGAGUGAAGAGCGCUGAUCAGUGCGAUGCCUCUGCUCUGCUCAACCUCAUCAACUACUGUAAUCGUUUCCAGCUAUCGGAUUCAAAAUGUGUGAAAGAGGUGAUCCGAUACAGGAAUGAGUUGAUGCAUUCUUGUGACCUGAGUGUGGAUGAUGAUUGGAUGAGACAUUACUGGUCCACUCUGAAAAGGCUUGUGCGGCAGUUCACGCAUGUACCACAGAUGGCAACAACUGAACAAAAGAUCGAUGAGAUGUUGACUGUUGAUUUGUCGAUAAGUUUGGACCAAAUGGAUUCUGGCGUAGAGUGUGAUUCUGCCAGGAAGAAAUGGGAGAGCGACGUUGAUUUGAUCAGCCAAUGGGAAGCUGAGUUGCUAGAAGAGAGGCUGCAGGAGUUACUGCAUGCUGCUGAUGAUGAUACAGAGACACGGGACACUGAGCAGUUGAAGAGGCUGGGUGGUUUCCUACAGGCCAACAGAGAUCUGUGCGACAGGUUUUCUGCAGAGCUCCAAACCAUCAACUCCCUGGUGGCCCGAGAUUAAGAAAAAGAGGAAAGCACCGUUUGUGCACACUUACAGACUUGUACACGCCACUGAUGGCUGGUCUCUUCAGCAGGAUUCUGGAGUGAGGCUGCAGAGAUUUAGGACAUUGGAAACACUGAUAGAGAGCUACAGAAGGGGCACGGCAUCUGGUCCCUGCAUAGCCUCUCUCACAGAUCCCCUGGACAAAACACAGCUACAGGUCCCCUUCGGACAAGACUUUGUCUACAUGGAAAUGAAAUAGCAGCAGCAGAUCUGCCUGUUGAGGCCAAGCUUUAAGUUCAUCAGGUGGACAAAGUGAGGAUGACAGAAACAUGGCACAUGUGGCACAACAAGGAUCUGGACUUCUUGCAGGGCUUUAUUUUUUUUUAAUCAAUAUUUCUGAAAGGAAGAAUGAGGAGCAUAUUUUGCACCAUUUGUAAUUUACUUUUUGAAAUAUCCAAUGGUCAACAUUUAGGUUAAAUUUCAAGGGAUUUGUGACAGAUUGUAUGUGCAUGAAUACAUUUAAAAUGUCUUCAUAAAAUACAUUGAAUCUCUCCACUGUAGUGGCCUCUUUGUAUGAUAUUUACCCACUGUAGUGGGUAAAUAAUCAUUUCAAUUAUUUACCCAGUAAAAUCUUGAAAUGUUUUUAGUUGUCUGAGUGAGUGUGGGAACAGUGUGUUUUUGAAAGAGAUGCUGUGAAGAUCUACUCUGAUACGAUCUCUGUUUCUGUGGUUUCCUUUUGGUAGACCUAUGUUUUCAGCACUGUUUAUGUAUCUCUGCCUGUCAGUACACAAAUAGGUUCCACCCUAAAGACUUCAGCAUCUGGUCACUUAUGUGUAUUAUGAUGUUUUGUGCUGUAAAGAAAAGGUAUUUUGUGGUUAUAAUAUUUUAUGCACAGACUUGAUAAGUGAUGUGUUUUAGAUCAGCUUGGGUAAGUCAGGGUUGUGUGCAAGGAUCCUUUGAUUUGUCUGGUUUGUGUGCAUGUUCCUGAAGCCUCUGUAGCAGACUGGCCUCACUGGGCGUAACAAUGCAGGAAGUGCAGUAGUGCAGAUCAUAGAAUCUAUUUUGGAAACACUGCUUUUUUUAAAUUCAUUUUUGCAACACAAGGUUCUUCUCAGACAUUGAAUAUACUUAAUCGACAAUCCCAUUUUCACGUUUUACAACAAGCUCUAACUGAUCUCAAUCAGGUGUAGAUGUGCUCCCACUGUUGCCAGUAAACUUGCCUUGAAUGGCAACAGUUUGUCAGACUAGUUUUGGUCUGGCUUAACUUUAGGCUUAAGCAGCGUUACAGUCAGUCUGUCAAAGUAAAACAGUGUUUUCACUAAGGUUCCUUCCCACAUGUCACACUGAUCACAAUUUGGCACAAGCUGCACUUAUUGCAUACAUGAAAUGUUUUCCAGCUUUAUCUGCAAAGUAAUCCAGUCAACAUAUUUUGUGCAAAAUGCACUGUGAUGAAACUAAUGAAUCCAUGUCUGCAGCCACAUAGGAAGUACAGGUGAGCUGAACUCACAAUGAUGUGAUUACUAUCAGAGCGCUGAGCUAAAUGGUUUCAGCAGGACUUUGUCUUUAGUUGAUGGUCUAAAGUUGCAGUGAUUCUGUUUAAUUUUACUGUAAUAUUUUAUUCUGUGUAAAUAUAUCUGCUGUUUUGUGCAAAAAUGUUUGUUUUUAGUUUACAGUGAACUGAUUUGUGAUUGAUUUCUCUGGUCUGUGUUUCAAAGUCAGUUUUUAACUUGACUUGAUUUAGUCUAAUUUGAGAAGCUCGGAAAUGGCUAAACCUUGUCCAGUUUGUUAGUCAUUCAGCUGUUAAUAGAUGCUGAUGUGGUCUGAAAUUAAAAAAAAAGGAAAAGCAUAUAUUAGUUGAUUUCACUACAUUCUAUAUUUUACCCUGUAGAGAUUUUAUUUCAAGUGUAUCUAAAUCUAGAGUUUUUCCAAUU